rnacentral:rRNA from 1 species
UACGAAGGGAGCUAGCGUUGUUCGGAAUAACUGGGCGUAAAGCGCGCGUAGGCGGACCUGCAAGUCGGGGGUGAAAGCCCGAGGCUCAACCUCGGAACUGCCUUCGAUACUGCGGGUCUCGAGUCCGGGAGAGGUGAGUGGAAUUCCUAGUGUAGAGGUGAAAUUCGUAGAUAUUAGGAAGAACACCAGUGGCGAAGGCGGCUCACUGGCCCGGUACUGACGCUGAGGCGCGAAAGCGUGGGGAGCAAACAGG